rnacentral:rRNA from 1 species
UACGUAGGGUGCAGGCGUUAAUCGGAAUUACUGGGCGUAAAGCGUGCGCAGGCGGUUUGCUAAGACAGGUGUGAAAUCCCCGGGCUUAACCUGGGAACUGCGCUUGUUACUGGCAAGCUGGGAGUGUGGCAGAGGGGGGUGGAAUUCCGACGUGUAGCAGUGAAAUGCGUAGAGAUGAUGGAGGAACACCGAUGGCGAAGGCAGCCCCCUGGGCUAACACUGACGCUCAUGCACGAAAGCGUGGGGAGCAAACAGG